UUGCACAGCGAACACCCAGGGACGCUAUCGUGGUUCUCCCUGGCCUUUCAUGUCUGUGCUACAGUGACUCUGGUCUUUUCCUCUGCAUUGGGAGCGUUUCAGUCUCUCCUACAUGUAUUAGCUGAUCAGCACAAAC
rnacentral:snoRNA from 1 species